rnacentral:tRNA from 1 species
GAGGGUAUAGCUCAGAGGUAGAGUGCAUGCCUAGCAUGCAUGCGGCCCUGGGUUCAAUUCCCAGUACCUCUA